rnacentral:rRNA from 1 species
GACCGCGGUUAUACGAAUAACCUAAGACAACGCAAACGGCGUAAACAUGACUAGAGCAGAAAGCCCUCGCACUUAAGGACGAACAAUAAACCAGCUGUAAAAUGCCAAGUCAAAAAGAAAAUCAAGCCUUAACGAGAGGGCCACGUUGACUCAUGAAAGCCAGGGGA